rnacentral:rRNA from 1 species
UGGGGAAUUUUGGACAAUGGGCGAAAGCCUGAUCCAGCAAUGCCGCGUGUGUGAAGAAGGCCUUCGGGUUGUAAAGCACUUUUGUCCGGAAAGAAAUCCUUGGCUCUAAUACAGUCGGGGGAUGACGGUACCGGAAGAAUAAGCACCGGCUAACUACGUGCCAGCAGCCGCGGUAAUACGUAGGGUGCAAGCGUUAAUCGGAAUUACUGGGCGUAAAGCGUGCGCAGGCGGUUUGCUAAGACCGAUGUGAAAUCCCCGGGCUCAACCUGGGAACUGCAUUGGUGACUGGCAGGCUAGAGUAUGGCAGAGGGGGGUAGAAUUCCACGUGUAGCAGUGAAAUGCGUAGAGAUGUGGAGGAGUACCGAUGGCGAAGGCAGCCCCCUGGGCAAUACUGACGCUCAUGCACGAAAGCGUGGGGAGCAAACAGGAUUAGAUACCCUGGUAGUCCACGCCCUAAACGAUGUCAACUAGUUGUUGGGGAUUCAUUUCCUUAGUAACGUAGCUAACGCGUGAAGUUGACCGCCUGGGGAGUACGGUCGCAAGAUUAAAACUCAAAGGAAUUGACGGGGUCAUAGCUGUUUCCU